UACGUAGGGUGCGAGCGUUGUCCGGAAUUACUGGGCGUAAAGAGCUCGUAGGCGGUCUGUCGCGUCGGCUGUGAAAACUCAGGGCUCAACCCUGAGCCUGCAGUCGAUACGGGCAGACUAGAGUUCGGUAGGGGAGACUGGAAUUCCUGGUGUAGCGGUGAAAUGCGCAGAUAUCAGGAGGAACACCGGUGGCGAAGGCGGGUCUCUGGGCCGAAACUGACGCUGAGGAGCGAAAGCGUGGGGAGCGAACAGG
rnacentral:rRNA from 1 species